rnacentral:tRNA from 1 species
CUGGAUCACCUCCUUUCUAAGAGAAAGAAAUGAUUUAAUUAUUUAAGGUAAAGCAUUAUUUUAACUCUUCCUUUGUCUUCUCAAAGACUUUUUGGGGGUUUAGCUCAGUUGGUUUAGAGCAUCGGCUUUGCAAGCCGGGGGUCAAGGGUUCGAGUCCCUUAACCUCCAUUUGUUUAUUGCAAAAAUGAAUGGAGGUUGUGCCUUCUAAAUAUCAGCUUGAGCUUUAUCAAUUUAAAUUGUCUUUAAUAAUUAAAAAUAAUCUAAUUGAAAUUUUGAUGUCCAGAUAAAACAUUUCUUUUUUAAAAGUUUUUCUUAAGUUUAAUAAUUUAUUAGGUCAAGAGAUUGCAUCUAUAGGAUAGAUUAUAAAAAAUAACGAUAUGUUAUCCAUGUUAUUUUUAAGUUAUCUUAUUUAGAUUAAUUUAAGUUUUUGUGGCUUGUAGGAAAUAAUAUUACUUCGUGUAAAGUUUAAUAUGUUUGAUGUUUGUGUCUAUCUUUAAUGAAUCAAUAUAAUACAUGGUUUAAUAUUUGAGCUUGUAGUUUUGAUUAUUAUAUUACCCGUUCUUUAUGGUUUAGUUAUAAAUUUUUUGCAUAUAUGUGAAAUUUGAUUAAAACUUAAAAAAUCCGUCUUGAAUUGUUUUGCCUAGGUUAUUAAAUCUUUAAAAGGAUUUGAGUGUAAAAUUGGGACCAGGAGGAGUUGAACC